rnacentral:siRNA from 1 species
GACGGUUACAGGAGCAUCUACGGA